GCGUCCAUAGCUCAGCUGGUAGAGCAGAUCCCUCUUAAGGAUAAGGUCGCAGGUUCGAUCCCUGCUGGACGCACCA
rnacentral:tRNA from 2 species